UAGAAAGGAGGACAGCAUUUCCCAUUUCUGGCAUUACGAAUGACAACACAGCAACUGAAAGCAAGCAUGAAUUUCUGGGAGUAGCAUUAGGAUACAGGGCUCCUGCUGAGCUCACCAGAUCCUUGCUCUGCACAGCUGCCUUCUCAGCUGGGGGUUUUAAAUCAGCACAGUGAGAAAAGAUAGAAAUGACCAUGAUGCAUCUUCCUCACUAUGAGAAAAAGGAGGAAGAGAGACCAGAGCUUUCUUUUUCUCUGGCCACUGCCUGAAGACAUAGCAGGACAACAGGUAUGGGCAAGCCGGGAAGAGGGCCCCUACCAAGAACCCAACCUGGCUGGCACCUUGAUCUUGGAUUUCUCAGCCUCCAGAACUGUGAGAGAUGCCUCAACUUUUUAUGGAUCAUGCAGGAUUUGAUCAGGCAAAAAGGACCCAAAGGAUACAUUAUAGGAAGGACAUUAUUACCCGGAUUUGCCCUUACACAAGUGUGGGGUCUACACAAGCUUUGGGAGGCUGAUGUUUCUCUAUCUGAAGUUGGUGGUUGAAGUCCACAGGCAGGCGGCGUAGAAGAAAAAAAUGGACGCAAAUCGGGGAACUCAUGAACAAAGCACCUGGAACCGGCAGAACUGGAACCCCGAGAAUGGGUUGGAAUCUGCAUUGACCCUCCGCUGCUUCCAAACCUCCCACUUCAAUGAUGCGCAGCCUGCAGGAGAAGUUUGUGUUGUCCUCAGGGUCCUCAGCAACCUGGCCAAGCAGGGGAGGUGCUGACUCGGUAGAUCUGGAAGGAGCGGCGGGGGGGCGGCGGCCGGAAGGUGCCUGGCAUGAACUAGGUGAGCUGGGUGAGCCUCAGCAGCCUUGCAAGCCGCCGGGAUCUCGGAGUGCAGGAACACGAUGGUGCUUUUCUUCAGCCUCUCAAAUCUCAUGCAAAAUACAGCUCGGUUUACACGCCCGCGGGAUUGUACGGAGAAAGGAAUCCUGGAGAACAGAGUUCCAGCUUAGUUCAGCAGACCCACUUCAAAUCCGCCAACAGGAAGCACCUAACCAGUUAGAUGUCACUACAAUUUAGAAACAGGUUGGGCUUCUGUGUCUUUUGAAACAAUUAUAAAACCUAUAAAAAUAAAUAAAAUAAAUAUUUGAACAUUUAGCUGUUCCUCUCUGUGCUAAGCACAAACAAAACCCAUAUCUAUAUAAGCCUUUUGCUUUAGAAGCUUCCCUCAUAUUGAUUUUAUUUAUUCCAUGAUCUCUCAUGUAGUGAAAUUAAACUGAGUCUGGGUUUCCUCAAUAGUAAGAAGGGGGAGAGGGCAUAGACCAGUUUCAGUUAGAUGCUGUUCCACCACUGACUAGCCAUGGAGUCCUGAGCAAGUUUGCUCCUCUGUGAGCCUUCCUUUCCUCAGUCAUGGAUGAGUGCAGAGAAGUUCAAUGGUCAGACGCAUACUGUUCUGGAAAGAUGUUCUAAAGUCCCUAAUCAAUUAGGAUUCUUGACUAAGACCUCUCAACGCACAGCGUUAAUGUUUGCCAUUCACUGAAAAAUGAUAGGAAUUGUUUGUUUUGCGAUGCUAUCUCUAGUUAUCACAUCCUGUAACCAGGUUUCAUGGGUACCUUCUAUGACAUUGAAAUGCAUUCAUGAAAUCAUUUAAUGACCUAAUUAAUCCUGAAUAGAGAUUUUGUUUGGUUGUGAGCCUCUGCUGGUGAAAUUUUUACCUUUCCUCUCAGCACUCAGUAAUUUCAUUACCAUGUAUAAAGAUGUAUGCAUAAAUAUUUUAUGUAAUUUUUUUCCCUUGGUUCUGUUAUUGCAAUGUUCAGUAUUUAUUAUUUAUUUAGUUUAUUGUGUUUUUUUAUUAAUGUGCUUGCAUACUGGCUCCAGGGGUAUCAUGAUGUGAAGAAACAAAAUAGGCUAAUAAUUCUAAGAACUCUCUUAUUUCAGAGUUGCCUAAUUAGAACCACUUUUGCAAACAGAAAAGAAAAUUAAUGAGUACAACAGGAUAUAAUGUGUGUGAUCUUGGAGGACUACUCAAGAUUCCUUGGGAACUGGAGAGGGCCAUCGAACUCAGACAGGGUGAAUUUCAGAUGAGGUAACACUCGAACCUUUAUUAACACCCUGGAAGUUGUAUGUGCUGUUUGAAAAAAAAAAAAAAAAAGCAAAUAACAUAGAAGCCCGUAAAGUAAAAAAUGAAAGAACUAAAUGUAAUGUGAUUCCCUGGAUUGGAUCUUGGAGCAGAAAAAGAAUAUUAAUGGAAAAACAGAUUAAAUCUAUCUGAAGUUUGAACCUUACUUUGCAGUAAUGUAGUAAAGUUGGUAUUUUUCGUUUUGAGAAAUGUAGGGUGGAAAUGUAAGAUAUUAAUUAUGGGGAAAACUGGGUGGAGGUAUCCAGAAACUCUUUGUAUUACCUU